UACGGGGGGGGCAAGCGUUGUUCGGAAUUACUGGGCGUAAAGGGCUCGUAGGUGGCCAACUAAGUCAGACGUGAAAUCCCCCGGCUUAACCGGGGAACUGCGUCUGAUACUGGAUGGCUUGAGUUCGGGAGAGGGAUGCGGAAUUCCAGGUGUAGCGGUGAAAUGCGUAGAUAUCUGGAGGAACACCGGUGGCGAAGGCGGCGCUCUGGACCGAGACUGACGCUGAGGCGCGAAAGCGUGGGGAGCAAACAGG
rnacentral:rRNA from 1 species